rnacentral:lncRNA from 1 species
AAAUAUGUUUACUUUUUUUACACAUGUGAUUUUGGAUUCGCAAACCUUCUCGAUAGAUAUGGCCUUGCUUCCUCGGUACGAGUUCUCUGUAUAUUCAUGAAUUUUUGAUAUUUUUUUCGGUAAAGACAAUUUAAGUCGUAUUUUUUCCAUGAUCUAUUUUCGCUAUUACAUUUGAAUUAGUUGUGAACUUCUACUAUGUGAUUGGUAGAAAUUUAUAUUAAAGGAAGUUCACAACCUUAAAAUCCUAGAUACACCACUGACCAUAGUGCAAUCCAAAUUCAAGUUAAGGGUUGAUUCCUCCAAAAUCCUAGAAAGAAUCUAACUAGUAACUAGUCCCUCAUGUAGAUGGAAAUGGUGUUGUGUGUGGAAAUUCACUGUCAUUUCGGUAAUAUUCUGAUACAUUUCUCCUGAUUUUGCCUUCACUUUGUUCUUUUCCUUAAUCGUUGUGUGUCAAGAUUUGGCAAGUUUAUGAUGCUGUUAUAAUCAGGGAGAGAAUUUAUUAAUUCCAUCUUUUAUACUUGUGUUUCGCAGGCCUUUGUAUGAAAUAACGAUUUCAACACUUGACAAGCCCACGCUCCUCUUUCGGGUAAGCCUUAUCUAUGUCAACGUUAUUAUCUCUUUCAAGAAUCUCUCUGUACUCUCACAGAAUGAAGUUAUAUAUCCUGAUUCUCCAGAAUUUUACUAUUUCAAGUAAAGAAGAAAAUUUGGAGUUCAUGUUAUCUGGUGGAAGUAAGAGCAGAAGCUUGCUGGCAAAUAUUUUUGCAUAUUAAGAGAAGUUUAUUGACAUUCUUUUUCAAUAGACUUUCAUCCUUUUCUAAGUUGAAUCUACAUUCGAUUAGAGUUCAUUAAGUAUAUUAGCAUCGCCACUUCAUUUUGUCAUAAAUAUCAUGCUUAAGUAGCUGUUUUAGCCUUUAAAGGGUAAGAAAAAUGCUGUGGACUUGGAGAUCUAUUUGUUAGAGCUCAACUUGUAUCUUCCCUAAUACUAACCUGCAGACUCACUUCCAGAUAAUUCAACUUCGAAAAGUAUGUAGUCAUCCUUACCUUUUUGGUGGUAUAGAAUCGAAACCAUAUGAAGAGGGAGAACACCUAGUUCAGGUACUGUAUCUACUUUCUGCUGAUUGUCACUGUUUGUAAUUUUGUGGCUGUAGAUUUUACACUGGAUAUGCACCUUAAGUAAUUGCAAUCUACCCGGCUGUCACUAAGUUAAGAGUAUGCAGCUGUUAGUUAUUUAACUUUAAAAGAUUAUCCUGCAUUCUUUUGUAUUUAUUACUAAUGUUUCACCCCAAGAAAGUAUGUUGUUUUCAUGGGUAUGCUUUUCUAACCAUUAAUUAAGUGCUGGUUAGGCUAGCGGCAAACUGCUAAUAUUGGAUCAUCUUCUUCAAAAACUUCAUGCUUGUGGACAUAGGGUUCUUCUUUUCUCUCAGAUGACUCAAACACUUAUCAUGGAGUACAAGGAUGCUGGGGUCGAGAAGGUAUUAUGUUAUUCAGUUUCUAGAAUAGUAUUUGAAACUAAAAUGAUUAUCAUGUACUUGAGAAAAAUUCUAUAUCGAGUUGCCUCAAAACCAGAUUGACUUUGUUUUUCUUUCAAGGGAACUGGAUAUGCUAGCCUUGCUAGCAUUUUAAUACUUAUUGACAUAUUGUGAAGGUGGAGAUAUAUGAGUGGUUAUCCUAGCCUUGUUAGCAUUUUUAUACUUAUUCACAUAUGAAUUUUACGUUUCUCCCAAAAGAUGGUCAAAACAUAUUUGUAGACUGAACUAACUUAUGAUGCUUUUAUAUGAAGAAUCUUUAGAAACCUUUCCCGAAAUUACUAGGUUGAAAGCGAUAAGAUCAUGGGAAUGUUUUAUGGUGUAAUAUGAAGAUAAUGACUUUUUUUGUUUUUUUGGGUGAUCAGGGCAAAGAUCAUAAGGAAGUCUAGAGGAGAUCUCUUCCCAGAAGAGGUAGUUUGGAUACAACUUCCAUCAUAAUGGGUUCUCAUACUAGAGUGGUUCACUUAAAGUUUAUGUGUUCAUCAACUUUUUCCACUGCAGAAACUCUGCAAAUGGCUGACUCAGCUAUUACUGGCGGUAGAUUAUCUGCACUCCAACCGUGUUCUACACAGAGACGUGAAGGUAUAAAUAGGCCCUGAUUUAUUAAUGAGCUUUCCUUGUAUGACCUGUUUUAACAUGAAGUAUUUCGAUUUAUUUCAGUUAUCUAACAUUUUUGUCACAAAGCACAAUGACAUCCGACCAGGUAAGAAUGACAACCAAGUGCAUGAUAGCACCCUCCUUGCUUCUAUAUUAUAUGUGAAUCAAAUAUGUUUACUUUUUUUACACAUGUGAUUUUGGAUUCGCAAACCUUCUCGAUAGAUAUGGCCUUGCUUCCUCGGUACGAGUUCUCUGUAUAUUCAUGAAUUUUUGAUAUUUUUUUCGGUAAAGACAAUUUAAGUCGUAUUUUUUCCAUGAUCUAUUUUCGCUAUUACAUUUGAAUUAGUUGUGAACUUCUACUAUGUGAUUGGUAGAAAUUUAUAUUAAAGGAAGUUCACAACCUUAAAAUCCUAGAUACACCAC